UUUUGGGGCUACGAAGAAUCAGUUGAAAUUCUUCUGGUGGCUGUGCAACAUGCUAGUUUCUAAGCGAAACAAAAAUUCAAAAAUGAAAAUAAAAAGGAACAGGACUUUUUCCUUAGUCCUUUCACAAUAUAUUCCCUCCUUUCUGUAACCAACUAAGAGAAAAUCUUCUUCCUCAGCAGUCGGAAAUUGUCAGGGAAAUGAUCUCAAGGACUCGCCGUAUCAGGGUGAUUGUCAGGAGAUUAGUCCCAGAUAUGCGGAAUUCCAAGAAGCUGGAAAUAAAAUGAAUCUUACUUAUGUGGAGUUACAGAACAAUUUUUACGAAAGUGAUCUAGCAUGGGCGGAAUUGGAACUCUGCGGAGCUCCUAAACCACUAUCGUAGAUGAACGGGACUAUAUUUUAAAAAAUAUUAAAUAAUCUUUCAAAUAAUCACAGAAUAUCCUGAAUUAAGGCACCAAUUUUCCACCUUCGAUCGGAGGGAGAAUGGAAGUUCCAAAAAAUACUAAAGUUUGAAAUAAAACUUGAAGAAAAUAAUGGAAUUAGGUAUAAAUUAUUAUAAUUUAUCGGGACUAAUGGAUAGACCUUAAAUGAAAGGAAAAGGAAGACCACACUUUUACUCUCAUAGGCAUAUUAUAAUCUUCUGUUCCGAUCUCCAGCCUCCUCUCGAUCAAAGGUGGAAAAUUUGGUGUCCUUCCAAUAAAUAUUUUCAUUCAUAUUCGAAACCCAAGUAAAAGUGAAUAAUGGGCCUUAUAAGCAGCCCAUGAGCCUUCCGAUUGGUCAAAAUGUGCAAUGUUUCCAGACCUUUAAGGACUUUUUUUGUCCAAAUAUCCGAAUCCAUUUAUGUACUGAUCAUAUGUGCGAUUAGAUUGAAUUGAAAAUCAUUAUAUUCAGAGUGUAGUUCUUUAUUAUGAUUCUUCAAACGCAUUUCCGUUUAUAUACGAUUUUGCUUUAGGAAUCGGCGUUCAAAUUCCGCCCAUUUUGGAUCUUUUUAUUAAAUUCUUCCUGCAAUUUGGCUGAUUUAAGGUUUCUUUGAUAUCAAUUUUCUUUAAAUUCUGCAUGUCUUUGACUAUUUUCAUAAAAUUUAUCCUGGCACUGUGAGCUCUGAGAUCUUCUCCAUGACACUUUUUAAAAUAUCUGAGAAGUAAUAAAACAAGAUUAUCAAAUAGGGAGGCGAAAAUAUAUACAGUCUCGUGUUGGACAGCCACUAGAAGAAUUGCAACUCGAUUUUCGAAACUCUUAAAUUCAAAUAAUUGAUACUUUUGUCUUUUUUUUAGUUUAUAUCAUUUUUAUAAUGUUAAUAAAAUUAUUAAAUUCAUAAAACUUGUACCAUUGUAUCAUGUUCAAAUUUUGUCAACAAUAUUGAAAGAAAAUAAAAAUAUUUCUGAAGCACUAA